NGUGACAGAAACCGAUCUCUCUGAGCCUUGUUUCCCUUAUCCAUGGAACAGGGGUAAGGCAGGACUGCGGUGGGGUUUAGAGGACACAAUGCACCUGGGGGUCACACUCACUGCCUGGAACACAGAAACUCCACCAAUACUGCACUGCCCAUUCCCUAGGACAGCACUGAGCAUGUGACCCAAGGCGAAAUCAAAAUAAAGUGUCUUCUCUGAGCCUUGGUCUCUUUGUUAAAAAAUGUCUACUGUCUCUCAUGGCCUCACAGGAUUGUGGCAAGGACUGGAGAAGGCCCAGGUGUGGACACGUUUUUGUACAUUGUGGAAAUAUUACCCAGGCGGGCUAUGACUCGCUAGUGGCACGUUGGUACUGUACUGUGGAGGAAUGAUGUAUGGGGCAUUGGGGUGCAGCAGCUGUCUGGGCCAAGUUGGGGAGAAGGUGUUUGAGGACACGACUGCCUGAGGCUUGACUUACCUAUGGACACUGAACCACCCCUGUACCCUGCUGUCC
rnacentral:lncRNA from 1 species